rnacentral:rRNA from 1 species
GGAGUUUGGGCCGUGUCUCAGUCCCAAUGUGGCCGUUCACUCUCUCAAGCCGGCUACUGAUCGUCGUCUUGGUGGGCCAUUACCCCGCCAACUAACUAAUCAGACGCGGGCCCAUCCUGUACCGUAAAGGCUUUUCACACGGCACCAUGCGGUGCUGUGCGCUUAUGCGGUAUUAGCAGUCAUUUCUAACUGUUGUCCCCCUGUACAGGGCAGGUUACCCACGCGUUACUCACCCGUCCGCCACUCAGUCAUCUCCUUCUUCACCCCGAAGGGUUCCAAAAGAGAGCUUCGUUCGACUUGCAUGUGUUAGGCACGCCGCCAGCGUUCAUC